rnacentral:sRNA from 1 species
AACUCAAUCCAAAGGCUAAGAG